rnacentral:rRNA from 1 species
AGUGAACGCUGGCGGUAGGCCUAACACAUGCAAGUCGAACGGCAGCACAGUAAGAGCUUGCUCUUACGGUUGGCGAGUGGCGGACGGGUGAGGAAUACAUCGGAAUCUACUUUUUCGUGGGGGAUAACGUAGGGAAACUUACGCUAAUACCGCAUACGACCUACGGGUGAAAGCAGUGGAUCUUCGGACCUUGCGCGAUUGAAUGAGCCGAUGUCGGAUUAGCUAGUUGGCGGGGUAAAGGCCCACCAAGGCGACGAUCCGUAGCUGGUCUGAGAGGAUGAUCAGCCACACUGGAACUGAGACACGGUCCAGACUCCUACGGGAGGCAGCAGUGGGGAAUAUUGGACAAUGGGCGCAAGCCUGAUCCAGCCAUACCGCGUGGGUGAAGAAGGCCUUCGGGUUGUAAAGCCCUUUUGUUGGGAAAGAAAAGCAGCAGGUUAAUAUCCCGAUGUUCUGACGGUACCCAAAGAAUAAGCACCGGCUAACUUCGUG